UGAAACCUGAGUCUGCAGAG
rnacentral:misc_RNA from 1 species